UACGUAGGGUGCAAGCGUUGUCCGGAAUUAUUGGGCGUAAAGAGCUCGUAGGCGGUUUGUCGCGUCUGCUGUGAAAACUCGGGGCUUAACCCUGGGCCUGCAGUGGGUACGGGCAGACUAGAGUGCGGUAGGGGAGACUGGAAUUCCUGGUGUAGCGGUGAAAUGCGCAGAUAUCAGGAGGAACACCGAUGGCGAAGGCAGGUCUCUGGGCCACUACUGACGCUGAGGCACGAAAGCGUGGGGAGCAAACAGG
rnacentral:rRNA from 1 species